CCUACGCGCGGCAGCAGUGGGGGAUAUUGCACAAUGGGGGAAACCCUGAUGCAGCGACGCCGCGUGGGUGAAGAAGCGCCUCGGCGCGUAAAGCCCUGUCAGCAGGGAAGAAAAUGACGGUACCUGAAGAAGAAGCCCCGGCUAACUACGUGCCAGCAGCCGCGGUAAUACGUAGGGGGCAAGCGUUAUCCGGAUUUACUGGGUGUAAAGGGGGCGCAGACGGCGAUGCAAGCCAGGAGUGAAAGCCCGGGGCCCAACCCCGGGACUGCUCUUGGUACUGCGUGGCUUGAGUGAAGUAGAGGCAGGCGGAAUUCCUAGUGUAGCGGUGAAAUGCGUAGAUAUUAGGAGGAACACCAGUGGCGAAGGCGGCCUGCUGGGCUUUUACUGACGCUGAGGCUCGAAAGUGUGGGGAGCAAACAGGAUUAGAUACCCGUGUAGUC
rnacentral:rRNA from 1 species